UGAGUACGAGAUGCUACGGCAUUGAAGCAGUCUAUGUCAUACUUCCAAGAAAAGCUUGCAAUGUCAUAAACAAAUAAUGCCUGUACCAUAACCGACACAGGUGGGUAGGUAGAGUAUACUAAGGGGCGCGAGAUAACUCUCUCUAAGGAACUCGGCAAAAUGACUCCGUAACUUCGGGAGAAGGAGUGCCUUAUUUUUAUAAGGUUGCGAUAACAAGAUCCAAGCAACUGUUUACCAAAAACACAGGUCUCCGCUAAGUCGUAAGACGAUGUAUGGGGGCUGACGCCUGCCCAGUGCCAGAAGGUUAAAGAAGUUGGUUAGCAUUAGCGAAGCUGAUAACUGAAGCCCUGGUGAACGGCGGCCGUAACGAUAACGGUCCUAAGGUAGCGAAAUUCCUUGUCGGGUAAGUUCCGACCCGCACGAAAGGCGUAAUGAUUUGGAUACUGUCUCGGAGAGGGGCUCGGUGAAAUAGACUUGUCUGUGAAGAUGCGGACUACCUGUACCUGGACAGAAAGACCCUAUGAAGCUUUACUGUAACUUGAGAUUGAAAUUGGACUUUAUCUGCGCAGUAUAGGUGGGAGACGUUGAAAAUAUUCUUGCGGGAAUAUUGGAGUCAUCAGUGAGAUACCACUCUUAUAAUGUUAGAUUUCUAACUUUGUAUCAUUAUCUGGUCAAAGAACAGUUUCAGGCGGGCAGUUUGACUGGGGCGGUCGCCUCCCAAACGGUAACGGAGGCGCACAAAGGUUUCCUCUGAACGUGUAGAAAUCGUAUCUAGAGUGUAAAGGCAUAAGGAAGCUUGACUGUGAGACCUACAAGUCGAGCAGGGACGAAAGUCGGUCUUAGUGAUCUGACGGUGCUGAGUGGAAAGGCCGUCACUCAACGGAUAAAAGUUACUCUAAGGAUAACAGGCUGAUCUCCCCCAAGAGUUCACAUCGACGGGGAGGUUUGGCACCUCGAUGUCGGCUCAUCGCAUCCUGGGGCGGUAGUACGUCCCAAGGGUUGGGCUGUUCGCCCAUGAAAGCGGUACGCGAGCUGGGUUCAGAACGUCGUGAGACAGUUCGGUCCAUAUCCGGUGUAGGCGUUAGAAUAUUGAGAGGAGCCUCCUUUAGUACGAGAGGACCGAGAAGGACAUACCUCUGGUGUACCAGUUAUCGUGCCAACGGUAAACGCUGGGUAGCCAUGUAUGGAGAGGAUAACCGCUGAAAGCAUCUAAGUGGGAAGCCCACCUCAAGAUAAGUAUUCUC
rnacentral:rRNA from 1 species